rnacentral:lncRNA from 1 species
AGCUGAUAGAGCGGGAAUUUAGUUCCAGUGCGUGUCUUGUGUGUAGCCAAGGUUAAUGUUUUUCCUUUUCUAUUAUUUUAAUUUUUUAAUUUUCUCUCUUUUUUCCUACCAGAUCGUGCUGUUACGGCCAUAUUUAACAUUAUUGAGCUGGGCUAGGUGCUGAAGUUUGAUGGCUGGAGCUGCUGGGAGACGAAACAUUCUUCGUGAACUGACUGCUGUGUCUGAUAGAGGGGAUGGGAGUAAUUAUCGAAACAGCAGUUUGCCAUUAACACCUCCCUCUCCAGACGAAACUGUUAUUCAGCACCGUGGUCAGUGUCGAAAGUCAGCUACUUAUAAAUAUGGUAAGCACUGUCUC